UAUGCCCUUCACUACGGAAUAGCCUCGGGAAACUGAGAGUAAUACCGUAUACGCCCUUUGGGGAAAGAUUUAUCGGUGAAGGAUUAGCCCGCGUCUGAUUAGAUAGUUGGUGGGGUAACGGCCUACCAAGUCGACGAUCAGUAGCUGGUUUGAGAGGAUGAUCAGCAACACUGGGACUGAGACACGGCCCAGACUCCUACGGGAGGCAGCAGUGGGGAAUCUUAGACAAUGGGCGCAAGUGAUCUAGCCAUGCCGCGUGAGUGACGAAGGCCUUAGGGUCGUAAAGCUCUUUCGCCAGGGAUGAUAAUGACAGUACCUGGUGAAGAAACCCCGGCUAACUCCGUGCCAGCAGCCGCGGUAAUACGGAGGGGGUUAGCGUUGUUCGGAAUUACUGGGCGUAAAGCGUACGUAGGCGGAUCAGAAAGUUGGGGGUGAAAUCCCGGGGCUCAACCCCGAACUGCCUCCAAAACUCCUGGUCUAGAGUUCGAGAGAGGUGAGUGGAAUUCCGAGUGUAGAGGUGAAAUUCGUAGAUAUUCGGAGGAACACCAGUGGCGAAGGGGCUCACUGGCUCGAUACUGACGCUGAGGUACGAAAGUGUGGGGAGCAAACAGGAUUAGAUACCCUGGUAGUCCACACCGUAAACGAUGAAUGCCAGUCGUCGGGUAGCAUGCUAUUCGGUGACACACCUAACGGAUUAAGCAUUCCGCCUGGGGAGUACGGUCGCAAGAUUAAAACUCAAAGGAAUUGACGGGG
rnacentral:rRNA from 1 species